AGCAUCCAGAGAGGCCUGGGAUAAAACCCUUUCAAGGUUACAGGCGAAGGUGUGAGCAUCCCUUUGAGGGGUAGAAUGUGAAGUCAGCAUUUUUGCUGCUGUUAUUUCCAAGGGAAGGGAGAAUAACAACAUCCCUGUUUUGUUACUGCUCUAGUGGGGGAUUGUCUGAGCCAACCGUUUGCAACAAUAUUACCCUAAAGGGGGUUUUCAAAGUAACAGCCAAACUGUUCCAUUUCUACAGAGUCAGGAGGUACUAUCUCACCACUGACCAUUUCAUUGAACACAACUCAAGAGGUUAUGUAAUGAACAGAAUGAUUUUUGUUCUGCCCUGUGGAAGAUAAUUUGCUUUAUAGAAUGAGGGGCUCAUUCCAUGGAGCUAAUAAAGCCAUGAUUAUAUUGCUUAGCCAUAACGGCAUAAUUUAUAAUUCGAAACCAUUGUCAUCUUCUGGGGCUGUGAGUCUUCACUUAAAUACUGAGGAAUAGCUUUUUUAUCUGUAACUCGAAGUUACAGGUAAACUUAAAUAUUAACAUCCAAUGAGAAAAAACAAAACAAAACAAAACGACAACAAAAAACAAAAACCACAUAGAAACUAUCAGUUAAUGGUCACCCAGAAGUAUAUAGAAAUGGAAAUAAUAAAUUUUACUUUUCUCGUGAGGAGCUGUGGUGUUUAAAAAUGCAUACUCCUUUUCCAGAGGACCUCCAUAUGUUUCCCAGCACCCAUAUAGAAUGCUUACAACCACCAGUAACUUCAUAUCUUGGGGAUCUGAUGUCUUCUUCUGGUCUACAUAAACCCCCUACAGGAUGUGCACAAGCACACACAUGAAUAAAUAACAUAUUAGUCUUAAAAUAUAAAAUAAAAUGUUAAUGACAAAUUAUUUUAACGGACAUGUCUCUUAAUGCAUGUUUGCAGAUCUCAAUAAAAAUGCUUUAGAAAUCCAGUGCCUAUGCUGUUUUAUUCAGAUUAAAUAAAACAACACCCCCUAAUAAGCAAUGGGAAUGGAAGCCUACUAAUUAGGGCUGGACUCUUGCUAGGCUAAAAUAUAUUCUGGAAAGACCCACAUCUAAUGUAAUAUUCAUUCCACUGGGAGAGACUCUCAGCUUAAGGAUGAUGUAAUAAUGCUGAUGGGUAGUUGAUAUCACCUUAAGUUGCCAUGUUCAACACAGUACGGUAUGCUUACCUAAGUACCACAUGGGGGGAAGGCGUAUGAUCUUUGUUCAUAAGUAGUGUGCUAUUUUUUAAAGUUAUGAAAGAUUGACAGCCUAAUGUGUUAUCAAACUACAAAAUCACCCUUCAGUUAAAGGCUCUAAGUCCUACAAAGAAUGAUCUUGUUUAAAACAUGGACAUAGAAAAUGUCACUGUGAAUAGGACCUUGUCAUAGAUAAGACGUCAACUCUUACGGAACUCAUUGUGGCUUCAUAAAACUGUCAUUAAGACACUGCCUGGCCAUGGAUUGUAGAUUUAAAACCAUGUCAUCGAAGCUGAUAAGUAGAAAAAUAAUAUUGCCUUCACCCUAUACAUAAUCUACAAGAAAUUAUGAUGUUGAGGUUCCUUGUUGUCACAAAAACUGAGAAUAAAAAACUUGAUUUCAAUCAAUUAAAUGAAAUGAUCACUUAAAAUGUAUUACUUUGUGUGUUUUUGCAAAUUUUUCUUCCCCUAUUUUUUCAAAAAAGGUAUGCAUUGCAUCCUUAGAGGACUAGUUCAUGUUUAAUGGUUUGGGGUGAGUGAGGGACAUCUGUCAAGGAAACAGAUCAACUGGCCAAUUGAAAUGUCAUUUCCCCACUUCAUGUAGAAUGCUGCCUUGUCUCUGCUGUUUCCUUCACUCUCUUUCCAUUUUAUUCUUUGGUAUUUUGAUUUAGACAUAAAAGCUCAGACCUAAUUUAAACCGACAGCAGAAUCAAACACUGUGACCUUGCCAGGAUUGUUCCAGGCCUUCAACACAAUCCACUGGGGGUAAGGUGUGAGCAAGGCUGGGUGAGAGCAAAUGGGAAUGGAGUGAGCUCUUUCCAGAUGGUCCUAUGGCUCAGGCCCAGUGUUCCUGGAAGACUAGUCAUGGGUCCGAAUGCAUCAUAGCCUGGCUGUCAGAGGAAUAUAGGCUGCAAUGUAAAGGAGAGAAGAAAAAUGUGACAUUUGCGAAUGACAAUAUUUGUAGGAAUGGAAUUGUGAAGACAAUACAAGGUCCCUACAUAGCAGCUGUGGAAACUGAGUGACUGUAAUUUGCUCAGGUAUGGGAAUGUAGUCAUUGCUAUAUUCGGUAUCAAAGUAACUAUUGCAUAAAGGAAGGCUGGGGUAGGAAUGGCUGUCAGUGCCCUCAGGAGUGUUUUGAGCAAUAUUUGCAGUGUUAAUAUGUAUCCAUUAUGCAGCAGUAGACAUGGUGGUGAUGCCUGUAGAUGUUGCAGGACUACUUCUGCAUUAUUUUGUUAUUCAGAAUCCUAAUAGGUUAACUGGCUUUCAGGUGAGCCUGUUCAUGGCCACACAAACACUAUCUUCCUUUAGAGAAGCCUCCAUAUAUCAAUGGGACUGGGAGGCCAAACCAGCAGGUUCUUGAUGUUCGAUUACAGAUCCUCUACCUUCCAGUCUCUCUCUUCGAAGUCAGAUACCUUAAACUGAGUAGAUAAGCAACAUCUGCCAUAGCCUUGCAUCCUUCCUCCCCUUUUCAGGCAAGCUUACUGCCACCCACCAUGCUAGGACACAAGACACAUUUCAAUUCUAUUUUACUUUGACAGAUUACACUCCUCCAUGAGGCUAAGUCACCUACCUGAUAUGCAACCAUCUCCAAAUCCCAGAAACAUCUAAGAGCCAGAAGCUCUCUUUGUGUAUUGGAAAAGAAUGAUCCUUCCUUUUUUCUUUCAAAACUCUCAUCACAGAAAGCAUUUCAGGACCACUUCUUUCUUUGCUGUAGAUAAAGAGGGGACAUCCUAAAUAGGUGGUCAGGGAGACUGGGAGAAUUCAAUGACUAUGAGAACAUGUUGCUAGGAAGCAUCAGAAGAAAACUGGGGUAGGUGGCAGGACUAAGGAAGUGUCCAGGAUGGGAUAGCCUACAGUGCACUCAUAGUCUGGGCAGGAUUUUAGACAUGAGGUAACAGUAAACAAACAAACAAACAAACAAACAAACAAAUAACAAGGAAAUCUAAAUUGCUACUGCUUAGUGACUAUAUGCUUUGUACCAAUGUCUGUUAAUUAUCUGUCUACUUACUUAUGCAUUUAUCUACUUUACUUAUUAUUUGGAUUGAUUUAUAUUUUCUUCUGAGAUAGAGUGUCACUUUGCAUUGUAGCUCAAGCUGGCCUCAAAGUCCUUAUAUUUGGUGUAAAUAGCUGGGAUUUCAUGUGGGUACCAAGACAGGAGACACUGAUACUGUUUGAAGUGCUUAUUGUGAUACAUCUUGAAAUCUCUUUCAAUAUACAUGAGGACAUAGGUACUUAGGAAGUAUAAAAGUUGGGUUUUCAUUGUUCGCUUGUUUGUUUUUGUCUUCCGCUUGAUUCAAGAACAUUUCCCUUUGCUGCAAGGAGGGACCAUGGUUCUCUUCCUAGUUGACAUUCUUUCUGAGCUGUGUCUUUAAUUCCUGGGCUUUGAUGUUCUAAAAUACAUAGUGUUCUCCAUGAAACAAAACAUGUCUUCACUACACAGAGACUAAGAAACAAAAUUCCUGGGAGACAAAAUGAAAUGAUUGUAAUCAUAUUACAAUAAUUGAAACAUAGCCUAACCAAUAAAGUACAUGUAAGCACGAGGACAUUGAGUUUGAUUCCAAGAAUAAAAUUUAAAAAGAAAGUGCCCAAGUGUAGUGUUGCAUACAUAUAAUCCCACUGAGAUGCAGCUCUCUGGGCUGAUAGGAAAGCUGGUGUAUCCUAGGUUGUUACAUCUAAGCCUGGGAAUCUUGUUUCAAAACUACAAACAAGUUGGGUAGAAACUGAAACAGUAGCUAAGGUUAUCCAUUGGCCUGUCCAUGUAUACAUAAGCACAUUCUUAGUUGUACACUCAUGCUCAACAUGCAAACACAUUGCUGUAUUAUAGGACACCAAUGAGAGACC
rnacentral:lncRNA from 1 species